AUCCCUCCUCCCUCUCUUCGAUAGGACUCCAGGAGCUCCACCCAGUGCUCAGCUGUGGGUCUCUGCAUCUGCUUCCACCAGUCACUGGAAGAAUGUUCUAUGAUGACAAUUAGGGUAGUCAUCGAUCUGAUUACAGGACAAGGCCAAUUAAGAGACCCUCUCCACUAUUGCUUGGAAUUUAAGGUUGAUGAGCAGAAUUGCUGGGACGCAAGCUCAGGCUUUGGACAGGCUAGACACAUGUUCUGCUUAAUCUAUGUCACCAGCCUAAGUUUUGUAAGUAAAAUCCCCAGGCUGAGAGUCCCCAAGGACAGAAGAUCUGUGAGCAGCGUGAACAUCUCCUGCGACUGCAACAGCUCCAUUUGUUUGUCUGUUUGCUUUCUUUUUUCUUCUUCAUUAAACUGCUAUAUAUAA